rnacentral:sRNA from 1 species
AUGCCCUUAGAGACUGAAGUCUUUUAAUUUAUCCACCAAACAAGUAUAGCAUGGGCAGCCUUAUUGUGCCUUGUCAAUGUGCUUCAGUUAUGACCUGGAGGGACCAGUUCUAUCUCCAUGUUGAGUCUCUUUGCUAAACAAACUAACAAUGGU